rnacentral:rRNA from 1 species
UACGAAGGGGGCGAGCGUUGUUCGGAUUUACUGGGCGUAAAGGGCGCGUAGGCGGCCCUCCUAGUCGCGUGUGAAAGCCCCGGGCUCAACCCGGGAACUGCGUCCGAUACUGGAAGGCUUGAAUCCGGGAGAGGGAUGCGGAAUUCCAGGUGUAGCGGUGAAAUGCGUAGAUAUCUGGAGGAACACCGGUGGCGAAGGCGGCAUCCUGGACCGGCAUUGACGCUGAGGCGCGAAAGCUAGGGUAGCAAACGGG